rnacentral:rRNA from 1 species
GCGGUGGAGCAUGUGGUUUAAUUCGAUGCAACGCGAAGAACCUUACCUGGUCUUGACAUCCACAGAACUUUCCAGAGAUGGAUUGGUGCCUUCGGGAACUGUGAGACAGGUGCUGCAUGGCUGUCGUCAGCUCGUGUUGUGAAAUGUUGGGUUAAGUCCCGCAACGAGCGCAACCCUUAUCCUUUGUUGCCAGCGGUCCGGCCGGGAACUCAAAGGAGACUGCCAGUGAUAAACUGGAG